GAGUAAAGAUUUCGGUCGCUUUGGGAGGAGCUCGCUUACUAUCAGCUUGUUGGUAGGGUAAUGGCCUACCAAGGCUAUGACGGUUAGGGGGUGUGAGAGCAUGACCCCCAGCAUUGGCACUGAAACACUGGCCAAACACCUACGGGUGGCUGCAGUCGAGAAUCUUCCACAAUGGGGGAAACCCUGAUGGAGCGAUGCUGCGUGCGGGAUGAAGGCCUUCGGGUUGUAAACCGCUUUUGUAGGGGACGAAAUUUUUGACGGUACCCUUUCGAAUAAGAGGUUGCUAACUCUGUGCCAGCAGCAGCGGUAAUACAGAGACCUCAAGCGUUAUCCGGAUUUACUGGGCGUAAAGCGUCUGUAGGGGGUUUAUUAAGUUCCAAGUAAAAUUUCAAGGCUCAACUUUGAAUUCGCUUGGAAAACUAAUAAACUGGAGUCUAGCAGAGGUGCAUGGAACUUGUGGUGUAGGAGUGAAAUCCGUUGAUAUCACAAGGAACACCAAAGGCGAAGGCAUUGCACUGGGCAAGCACUGACCCUGAGAGACGAAAGCGUGGGGAGCAAAACGGAUUAGAUACCCGUGUAGUCCACGCCCUAAACGAUGAAUGCUAAAUGUUCGGGGAUUCGACCCCCUGGGUGUUACAGCUAACGCGUUAAGCAUUCCGCCUGGGAAGUACGGCCGCAAGGCUAAAACUCAAAGGAAUAGACGGGGAUCCGCACAAGCGGUGGAGCGUCUGGUUUAAUUCGACAGUAAGCGUGGUACCUCACCAGGGUUUGACAUCCCUUGACAGCCUUGGAAACAAGGUUUCCUUCGGGCAAGGUGACAGGUGCUGCAUGGUCGUCGUCAGUUCGUGCCGUGAGGUGUUCCGCUAAGUCGGGAAACUGAACGAAACCCGUAUUGCAUGUUACAAUUUGUCACUGCAAGACUGCCUGGAUAUACUGGGAGGAAGGUGGGGAUGACGUCACAUGUGCAUGGUCCUUAUACCCUGGGCGACACAGGCGCUACAAUGGCAGAGAUCAAAAGGGUUGCAAAACCGCAAGGUGAAGCUAAUCCCAAAAA
rnacentral:rRNA from 1 species